CGGUUGUGUGAUUGUAGAAGCAGUAUGUGCAGAUGGCAUCAUCACAUUCUUCAGGUUUUUUCAUGAGGCUUCCAAGGAUUCGAUCUGCAGACCGCACAUCCCCAUGUGUAUAGCCGAUGGGCUGGGCCGUUAACUGUUCUAAAUAGGCUGGUCCUCUAGGCCCUCCCUGGACUCCACAGGUGCCAGCCACCUCAUGUCAUCGAACUGACUCCGCCGCCGCACGGACGAACGGAGCACCUCCCCAAAUCCAUCGCUCAGCCGCCUGCUCCGCCAAUCAUAUUUGAUAAGAUGCUGGAGAGAAAGCAAGAACAUGAUUGCAAAACAGGAGGUAGUGGAAGCAACAUCCAAAAAGCUUGCACAACAGGAGGCACAAGGUACAUAGCACGGUUUGGUGACCUCGAUGAUUCUUGUCAAGGUGUCUGGAAUGAACUAAAUACUGAAGUUAUCUCAAAGUUGUCUAAAAGCGUUAUCGCCCUUGCUUCUUUUAAGGG